GGGCCAAUGGUCUAGUUGGUAUGAUAUUCGCUUCGCAUGUGAAAGGUCCGGGGUUCAAUUCCCCGUUGGUCCA
rnacentral:tRNA from 1 species